rnacentral:tRNA from 1 species
GUCCUAGCUCAGUCGGUAGAGCGUGAGAUGAAUAAUCUCCUGGUUGUGGGUUCAAGCCCCAUGUGAGAUA